rnacentral:rRNA from 1 species
UAGCGUAUAUUAAAGUUGUUGCGGUUAAAAAGCUCGUAGUUGGAUUUCUGUUGUGGGCAGCCGGUCCACACUAUGUGUGAGUAUCUGGUUCGACCAUGGCAUCCUCGUGAGGAACGUUGGUGCGCUUCACUGCGUGGCGCGGUAUUCACGACUUUUACUUUGAGGAAAUUAGAGUGUUCACGGCAGGCGCUUGCCCUGAAUAUAUUAGCAUGGAAUAAUGAUAUAGGCACGUGUGUCUAUUUUGUUGGUUUCUAGACGCACGUGAAUGAUUAAUAGGGACUGUUGGGGGCAUUCGUAUUAUGACGUC